rnacentral:rRNA from 1 species
GACGAACGCUGGCGGUGUGCCUAAUACAUGCAAGUCGAACGCACUCUCGUUUAGAUUGAAGGAGCUUGCUCCUGAUUGAUAAACAUUUGAGUGAGUGGCGGACGGGUGAGUAACACGUGGGUAACCUGCCCUAAAGUGGGGGAUAACAUUUGGAAACAGAUGCUAAUACCGCAUAAAACCUAACACCGCAUGGUGUAGGGUUGAAAGAUGGUUUCGGCUAUCACUUUAGGAUGGACCCGCGGUGCAUUAGUUAGUUGGUGAGGUAAAGGCUCACCAAGACCGUGAUGCAUAGCCGACCUGAGAGGGUAAUCGGCCACACUGGGACUGAGACACGGCCCAGACUCCUACGGGAGCAGCAGUAGGGAGUCUUCCACAAUGGACGAAAGUCUGAUGGAGCAACGCCGCGUGAGUGAAGAAGGUUUUCGAUCGUAAACUCUGUUGUUGGAGAAGAAUGUAUCUGAUAGUAACUGAUCAGGUAGUGACGGUAUCC